GACCAAGAUAGCGUAGUGGAAUACGCGAUGAUUCAAUAAUCAGAGGUUGAUGGUUCGAAUCCAUUCCUGGUCU